rnacentral:lncRNA from 1 species
ACCCUCCCGCCGCCUCCACCCUCCAGCCUCCGCGCUCCCAGCCUCGCCGUCGCCGCUACCUUAGCCCCUCUCCGGUGACCUCCGUCCUCUCCCUCGCCCGUCUCCACCUCGCCAGAACACGUCCUGGGCAACAGAUUCCUGCUCGCUCUCCUCACGCUCUCUGCAUUUCUCCUGACGCUCGACGCCGCCCGGGCUGACGGAACCCCCGCCAACCCGGAUCCGUCGGCUCUGCUCCAGAAUCCGGAGGCGGAGGUGACAAUAGCGGAUCCUCNUAGUAGUUUACAAGGUUAACCUCAUCAUAUUUGGAGCAUCUAUGGGCCUUAAUAUUGUAAAUAGUAAUAGUUUGAAUGAUCUGUUAAUAUUGAACCCAAAGCCCGUAGCCACAAGCGGGCUCAAAAUGGGCCCAAGUUGAGGCCUCGUCAGCAAUGACGCAAUAGGCCCAUGGUCGUACGCGGUGGGCCCUAGGAUUGACGCGCAUUCGUCAGCCAAAACAAAGGACACGUGUCACGUCCCCAGAAGCCACGCGAAGGGCGCGUGCUGUCUCACGGGAUCCUGCCAGCUGGGUUCUAUUCCAAAGUCGGCUGGCAAAAACCUUAUCCUCUUUCUUUUUUGAGAAACGAUAAUAUCACCGCCGCUGCAUGAAUGUGAUGUCCACCAACUUAUGAAAUCGGUUAGAAAGAGGCCACCUAAAUGUACUUUUCUUAUUCAUUUUUUUCAACGAAAAUAUAUGCUAAAUUUUCUUAGAGCAGUGUAAAAAUGCCCUGAAGCUUUCUAGAAUCUAGAUUGCUAAGAUUUGUAAUAUUAUUUAUUUGUAAAAUAUAAUUAUUAAUUAACUAAGAUUUUGUUAAUGUGAAAAAUACAUUCAAUUUGUUUGUUGUAUUUGUUUAGUUGAGCUAAACCAAAAUUUAAAUAACUAAAUAGUCCAAAUUAAGCCAUAUACAAUGCUAAAUAAGAUGGUGCAAAUCAACUCCAAUUGUAAUACAAUUAUCACACAAUGGGUAUAUUUGUAUCAAUAAUAUCGAAAUUAUCUGAUAAAUCUGUAAUGAUCAAAUAUGGAAUGAAAUAUGCUUUAUACAGGUUAGAUAAUUAUUUUAUAUGGUUAAAUGGAUUAAAAUAUAUGAACUUUGUGGUGAUUUUUACUUGGCACAUAAUUGUUCAAUUUUUAAAAAAAAUACUCCCUCCGUCCCGUUAUUAAUGGCACGUUUUCCUUUUUGGGUUGUCCCGUUAUUGAUGGCACGUUUCCUUUUUAGAAAAAUAAGGGAGUGUUUAAUGUUAAUCAAAUCCCUAAUUAAAAGCCUAAUAAAUUAAACACGCAAUGUCCCUCUCCCCCCCUCUCUCUCUCCCACUUCGGUCUCUCCCUCUCGCCGCCUCCACCCUCCCGCCGCCUCCUCCCUCCAGCCUCGCCUCCAGCCUCCGCGCUCCCAGCCUCGCCGUCGCCGCUACCUUAGCCCCUCUCCGGUGACCUCCGUCCUCUCCCUCGCCCGUCUCCACCUCGCCAGAACACGUCCUGGGCAACAGAUUCCUGCUCGCUCUCCUCACGCUCUCUGCAUUUCUCCUGACGCUCGACGCCGCCCGGGCUGACGGAACCCCCGCCAACCCGGAUCCGUCGGCUCUGCUCCAGAAUCCGGAGGCGGAGGUGACAAUAGCGGAUCCUCCGCUGGCGGAGAGAGAGACGGAGUCGGAGGCGGAGGCGCCGGCGGAGUGGGAGAGCAGGAAGAUCGGGAAGCACCACUCGUCGGACAAGUCGGAGACGUCCUCUCCCUCGCACGUCUCCACCUCGCCAGAAAUUAGGGCUCGUCGGAAGAAGAGACGAAGGUGAGGGCAGAUCUGUUGUGUCGUCGGUGCUGAGGAAGACGAGGCGAAGGCGAGGGCGCGGCGACGCGGCUCUUUCCUCUCCAGAUCUCGCCGAUGCAGCGGCCGCCUCCCGCCGCAGAGGAAUGCAACCACGAUUUUAGGCCUAGGGUUUUAAUUGCAGAUGGAGAUUUCUUAAAUUUCUUGAAUUUCAUUACACUAUUGGAUUUGGGGGAAAUACAUUUGUUGGUUGUUUGAAUGAUGGUAUAUGGAGAGUAGAGGGAGACGAGGUGAAGGGAACGCGGCGUCGGCGCCGGCGCCGGCGGUAGCAGCAGCAGAAGUGUGUUGGUUUAUUAACUUAAAUCAAUUAACUCAUGUGUGGGCCUUGC